ACUCGGUUUCGCCCAUUCUCUUAAGGAUUGAGAAGGCAAAGGUUACUUGACUUCGCCCGCCUCCUCGAGGUUGUACUCCAUGCAUCGAGCUGGUUACUGGCCUUCGUCUGCUCUUUGCUCAUACUUCUGAAGCACAUGAAGUGUUUGCACUCCUUGCGUUGAGUUAGCUACUGUGAUUCACCUUCUCAAUGCCAUCGAACUUCUGGAAUGCA
rnacentral:lncRNA from 1 species